rnacentral:rRNA from 1 species
UACGGAGGGAGCUAGCGUUGUUCGGAAUUACUGGGCGUAAAGCGCACGUAGGCGGCUUUGUAAGUUAGAGGUGAAAGCCUGGAGCUCAACUCCAGAAUAGCCUUUAAGACUGCAUCGCUUGAAUCCAGGAGAGGUGAGUGGAAUUCCGAGUGUAGAGGUGAAAUUCGUAGAUAUUCGGAAGAACACCAGUGGCGAAGGCGGCUCACUGGACUGGUAUUGACGCUGAGGUGCGAAAGCGUGGGGAGCGAACAGG